GUUCCCUUCAUCCAUCCUGCAGCUUCUACAUUGUUCUUCAUCUCUGGGAAAUCAGUGACCCAUGGACUGGACAAUAACUUUGAGCCAUGCAGUCAAAAUAAAAUGGAAUAUUUAAGUGAAAGAUCAGGUUCUGGAAAAUAAAACUGCUCGUAGCUGCAUAUUAUCUACCGGUGAGUAAAACAAGUUUACUGCCACCAUCUUAGUGUGACUAAAAGAGGGAGAUCCUAAAGAAUUUCAAGGAAAUAAAGAAAAGUAAAUGGAAAUGGAUUGUGUAAUAUUCGUUAUUAUUGAUUAAAU
rnacentral:lncRNA from 10 species